CUGAGGAUCACACUGAACUUCCUGAGGAGGCUGAAGCAGGAGGAGCUGGCUGAGCGUCUGCACCGCAGAAGUCGGUCUGGAGUUCAGCAGCGGAAAUUGAAACGUAACCUGCAGCAGAAGUUUGAGUGUGUGUUUGAGGGCAUUGCUAAAGCAGGAAACCC